rnacentral:rRNA from 1 species
UGGGGAAUCUUGCGCAAUGGGAGCAAUCCUGACGCAGCAACGCCGCGUGGGUGAUGAAGGUCUUCGGAUCGUAAAGCCCUGUCGGAGGGGAAGAUGCUUUUUGUCGCUAAUAUCGGCAGAAGGUGACGGUACCCUCAAAGGAAGCACCGGCUAACUCUGUGCCAGCAGCCGCGGUAAUACAGAGGGUGCAAGCGUUGUUCGGAAUUAUUGGGCGUAAAGGGAGUGUAGGCGGUUUUCUAAGUCUUCUGUGAAAUCUACGGGCUUAGCCUGUAACGUGCAGAGGAAACUGGAAGGCUUGAGUGUCGGAGAGGAUAGGGGAAUACCCAGUGUAGAGGUGAAAUUCGUAGAGAUUGGGUGGAACACCAGUGGCGAAGGCGCCUAUCUGGCUGACAACUGACGCUGAGACUCGAAAGCAUGGGGAGCAAACAG